rnacentral:rRNA from 1 species
CUACGUGCCAGCAGCCGCGGUAAUACGGAAGGUCCAGGCGUUAUCCGGAUUUAUUGGGUUUAAAGGGAGCGUAGGCGGACUGUUAAGUCAGCGGUUAAAGAGUGUGGCUCAACCAUACGAUGCCGUUGAAACUGGUGGUCUUGAGUGCACACAGGGAUGCUGGAACUCGUGGUGUAGCGGUGAAAUGCUUAGAUAUCACGAUGAACUCCGAUCGCGAAGGCAGGUGUCCGGGGUGUAACUGACGCUGAGGCUCGAAAGUGUGGGUAUCAAACAGGAUUAGAUACCCUGGUAGUCCACACAGUAAACGAUGAAUACUCGCAGUUUGCGAUACAAUGUAAGCUGCCAAGCGAAAGCAUUAAGUAUUCCACCUGGGGAGUACGCCGGCAACGGUGAAACUCAAAGGAAUUGACGGGGGCCCGCACAAGCGGAGGAACAUGUGGUUUAAUUCGAUGAUACGCGAGGAACCUUACCCGGGCU